UACGGAGGGUGCAAACGUUGCUCGGAAUCAUUGGGCGUAAAGCGAGCGUAGGCGGUCUUGUAAGUCGGAUGUGAAAGCCCUCGGCUCAACCGAGGAAGUGCACCCGAAACUGCAAGACUUGAGUGUCGGAGAGGGUGACGGAAUUCCCGGUGUAGAGGUGAAAUUCGUAGAUAUCGGGAGGAACAUCAGUGGCGAAGGCGGUCACCGGGACGAUAACUGACGCUGAGGCUCGAAAGCGUGGGAGCAAACAGG
rnacentral:rRNA from 1 species